GCGAGGCGUCAAAUGAAACUAACUUCAGAGGGGCAGAGUUAUAUGAUGAGAAGUGUACUUCACGCAUCUAUGCAUUACUAAGUUUUCAAUCCAUAUCUAAGUUAAAUUUCACCUAAAUCAAAAGAGUCAUUUGGAUAAUAACCUCAUAUUUUCAACACGGAAGUGAACCGUUAAGUCCAAUGUAUAUGUUUUAUUGAAAAAAUGUUAUAUUUUCGUACACGGAACGCAACGGCCGAGGUCAUUGGUCAGUUGACAUUGACAUUUAGUUGAGUUCACAAUACAGCAGUGUUUUGACGAAUUUUAACUAAUUUUGGUCAUAUUUUAAUUAAAAACACCGUUAAUAACGUAAAUAAGUGUAUUAUUAACAAUAACAAAUAAUAAUUCGUUUGAAAAUACGUGAGAACGUAGUAAAAAAAUGGAUUUAAAAACCCGACCUUGUUUUCUGUGCAACAAAAAAGUUUACACGUUAAAAUUCACAAACGACAAAUUAAAAAUAUGUAGAAAAGUGCUGGCUGCAAGGAAAAAGUCAAAUUUGAUUUUCAAGGAUAUUGUUUUGCCAAAAAACUCUCAGUUAAACGUAGGUUAUCAUCAAAAAUGUUUUAACAGAUUUCAAAUUGUCCAGAAACACAAUGAAAUUACUUCGUCUAUCAUUGAGGAAGAACAGAAACCAACAAGAAAAAUCCUACGGAGCACCUCAACCAUAAAAGACAAGACAUUACUAGAAAUUGCUCUACCUAACAACGAAAUAAAUAUGGUUGCUAUAAUCAAACCAAAAUUAGACCCUAUGGCUACUUGUCAGGUAGAAUUUCAAAUACCUAGUCAAUCGUUUGAAGACGAAAUCGGUGAUAUCAAACCGGAUAUAUCUGAAGGGUCUAUUUUAAAAGCUAUAUUGACGAGAAAAAUGCCUGUUAGAAAAGUUAUGAUGAAUAAUUUUGAAGCAUGUAUUUAGUAUUAUAUAUUAUGUUGUUUCGUAUAUUAUAUAUUUUGGUCAAAGAAUCAGCAUUGCCAUUCAAUGUGGUUUUGUUAACAGUUGAUAGAAAAGUGG